GAAAACAUCAAAUAAAAGAAAGCUCGUUAUCACUCUAGCAGAAAGGUUGGCAAGACAUCGUUGUAGUUGAAGGGUGAACUGACGUGGUAAUGAAAUGAAGUCAUGGGAGUUGUGUUCGCGUCGGUUUUGUUGAGGUAGAGAACACCUCAUAUGGUGGCUGGCCGCGAUUCAGAUGGUGAAAAGGUGGAGCUUGGCUUAUGGUGUGAUUUGUGGAAGAGUUUAGUGAAGUCUUAGUGAGUGAAAACUGAAAGUUAUGUAUGAGAGAAAUGUGGUAAAGAUAUGAAGAAAAUAAGUUUUGUGUGGUAGUUUUAUGGUGAAUAAUAAUGUAGUUACAAGGUGAUGAUGAAGUAAGAAGAAUAAGUAUGUUGAUGUUGGUUUUGAUUCAAACAUGAAGGAGGAAGUUUAUUAAUUGGUACGUUGUGAAUGAAGUUUAAGAUGGACAUGUGAAGGUGAGCAAAGUUGGUGUAGUGGUGAUGUUGUUGUAUGAAGAAGAAUAUGUGUGUUUAA
rnacentral:lncRNA from 1 species